UACGUAGGGAGCGAGCGUUGUCCGGAAUCAUUGGGCGUAAAGAGCAUGUAGGUGGAACAAUUAGUCUGCUGUGAAAGUCAAAGGCUCAACCUUUGAAAGCCGGUGGAUACUGUUGAUCUAGAGUACGGAAGAGGCGAGUGGAAUUCCUGGUGUAGCGGUGGAAUGCGCAGAUAUCAGGAGGAACACCAAUAGCGAAGGCAGCUCGCUGGGACGUUACUGACACUGAGACGCGAAAGCGUGGGGAGCAAACAGG
rnacentral:rRNA from 1 species